rnacentral:rRNA from 1 species
CGGACCGGCGCACGGGUGAGUAACGCGUAUGCAACUUACCUAUCAGGAGGGGAUAACCCGGCGAAAGUCGGACUAAUACCGCAUGAAGCAGGGGUCCCGCAUGGGGAUAUUUGCUAAAGAUUCAUCGCUGAUAGAUAGGCAUGCGUUCCAUUAGGCAGUUGGCGGGGUAACGGCCCACCAAACCGACGAUGGAUAGGGGUUCUGAGAGGAAGGUCCCCCACAUUGGUACUGAGACACGGACCAA